rnacentral:rRNA from 1 species
UACGGGGGGGGGCAAGCGUUUGUUCGGAAUUACUGGGCGUAAAGGGCUUGUAGGUGGCCAACUAAGUCAGACGUGAAAUCCCUCGGCUUAACCGGGGAACUGCGUCUGAUACUGGAUGGCUUGAAUUCGGGAGAGGGAUGCAGAAUUCCAGGUGUAGCGGUGAAAUGCGUAGAUAUCUGGAGGAAUACCGGUGGCGAAGGCGGCAUCCUGGACCGAGAUUGACACUGAUGAGCGAAAGCUAGGGGAGCAAACGGG